GGGUUAGUAUUAAUAAGUAAAAUUUAAUAAAAGAAAUUUUAAUGUUAAAAAUAUAUAAUGGGGGUUAAAGUAUUUUUAAUAGAAAAAAUUUGAAAUUUUAUAGUUAAUGAGUAUUGUGAAAGAAAUUUGAAAUAAUUUGAAAAUAAAUUUUUUUAUAAGUAAAUUUGAUUUAUUGUAUCUUGUGUAUCAGAGUUUAUUAAUUUUUUUUUAUAUUGAUAAAUUUCUCGAAUUUAAAAGAGUUAAUUAAUUAAAAAAUUUAUUGUUUCAUAAAUAUUUUAAAUAAUUAAUUAGAAAUGAAAUGUUAUUCGUUUUUAAAUAUAUCUAGUUUUUUAAGAAAAAAAUUUAAUUUUGAAUUAAUUUAAAAAAUUAAUUAAUUAUUUAAUUAAUUUUAUUAAUAAUAUAACUAUUUAAAUUAAAAAUUAAUUUAAUAAUUUAGGGGAUAAGCUUUAAAUUAAAUUUUUAUAAUUAUUAUUAUUUAGAAAAUAUUUAAAAUUUAAUAUUUAAAAUUUUUAUAAUUUAAAUUGUUAAUAAAUUUUAGUUUGUUAUAAAUUAUUUUAAAUUUAUUUAAAAAUUUAAAAUAAAAUUUAAUAUUUUAUUAAAAAAUAAAUUUAAAUUAGUUAUAUUUAGUUAUAAUGGUAAAAUUAGUAUAUAAUUUAUAUAAUUAUUUUAUAUAAAAUUUAUUUAAAAUUUAAUAUUUAUGAUAAUUAUUUUAAAGGAAUUCGACAAAAGUUUAUAUUCACCUGUUUAUCAAAAACAUGUCUUUUUGGUUAUAAUUUAAAGUCUAAUCUGCCCACUGAUUUAAUUAUUAAAGGGCUGCAGUAUAUUGACUGUACAAAGGUAGCAUAAUCAAUAGUCUCUUAAUUGGUGACUUGUAUGAAAGAUUGGAUGAAAUAUAGAUUGUCUCUAAAAUAUAUAAUUGAAUUUAAUUUUUUAAUUAAAAAGUUAAAAUAAUUUAAAAAGACGAGAAGACCCUAUAGAGUUUUAUAGUUGUUUAAUUUUAAGUUAUAUAUUAAUUUGAUUAAUUUAUAUUUAAGUAAUUAUUUCAUUGGGGUGAUGGAAAAAUUAAUUUAACUUUUUUUGAAAAAAAUCAUUAAUUUAUGAGUUUUUUGAUCCAAUAAUAUUGAUUAUAAGAAAAAAUUACCUUAGGGAUAACAGCGUAAUUUUUUUUUUUAGUACUUAUAAGAAAAAGAGUUUGCGACCUCGAUGUUGGAUUAAGAUAAAAUUUAAAUGCAAAAGUUUAAAAUUUUUGAUCUGUUCGAUCAUUAAAAUCUUACAUGAUCUGAGUUCAAACCGGUGUAAGCCAGGUUGGUUUCUAUCUUUUAAUGUUUUUAAUAUUUUAGUACGAAAGGAUUGAAUAUUAUAAUUAAAUUAAUUUUUUAUGAAUAUUAUUAAUAAUUAAUAAAAUUAUGAAAUAAAUUA
rnacentral:rRNA from 1 species